AGUGAACGCUGGCGGUAGGCCUAACACAUGCAAGUCGAACGGCAGCACAGUAAGAGUUUGCUCUUACGGGUGGCGAGUGGCGGACGGGUGAGGAAUACAUCGGAAUCUACUUUUUCGUGGGGGACAACGUAGGGAAACUUACGCUAAUACCGCAUACGACCUACGGGUGAAAGCAGGGGAUCUUCGGACUUUGCGCGAUUGAAUGAGCCGAUGUCGGAUUAGCUAGUUGGCGGGGUAAAGGCCCACCAAGGCGACGAUCCGUAGCUGAUCUGAGAGGAUGAUCGGCCACACUGGAACUGAGACACGGUCCAGACUCCUACGGGAGGCAGCAGUAGGGAAUAUUGGGCAAUGGGCGCAAGCCUGAUCCAGCCAUGCCGCGUGAGUGAAGAAGGCCUUCGGGUUGUAAAGCCCUUUUGUUAGGGAAGAAAAGCAGCAUAUUAAUACCCCGCUGUUCUGACGGUACCCAAAGAAUAAGCACCGGCUAACUUCGUG
rnacentral:rRNA from 1 species